UCACCGGUUCUCGUACGAUGACAGAAGUUAAGCAAUAUCGAGCCUGUUCAGUCCCUAGAUCAGUGACCGCUUGGGAAUACCAGGUGCUGUAAG